GAUCUGGCUCAGAUUGAACGCUGGCGGCAGGCCUAACACAUGCAAGUCGAACGGUAACAGGAAACAGCUUGCUGUUUCGCUGACGAGUGGCGGACGGGUGAGUAAUGUCUGGGAAACUGCCUGAUGGAGGGGGAUAACUACUGGAAACGGUAGCUAAUACCGCAUAACGUCGCAAGACCAAAGAGGGGGGACCUUCGGGCCUCUUGCCAUCGGAUGUGCCCAGAUGGGAUUAGCUAGUAGGUGGGGUAACGG
rnacentral:rRNA from 1 species